rnacentral:rRNA from 1 species
AGCGAACGCUGGCGGCAGGCUUAACACAUGCAAGUCGAGCGGGCAUCUUCGGAUGUCAGCGGCAGACGGGUGAGUAACACGUGGGAACGUACCCUUCGGUUCGGAACAACUCUGGGAAACUGGAGCUAAUACCGGAUACGCCCUUAUGGGGAAAGGUUUACUGCCGAAGGAUCGGCCCGCGUCUGAUUAGCUAGUUGGUGGGGUAAUGGCCUACCAAGGCGACGAUCAGUAGCUGGUCUGAGAGGAUGAUCAGCCACACUGGGACUGAGACACGGCCCAGACUCCUACGGGAGGCAGCAGUGGGGAAUAUUGGACAAUGGGCGCAAGCCUGAUCCAGCCAUGCCGCGUGAGUGAUGAAGGCCUUAGGGUUGUAAAGCUCUUUUGUCCGGGACGAUAAUGACGGUACCGGAAGAAUAAGCCCCGGCUAACUUCGUG